rnacentral:rRNA from 1 species
UACAGAGGUCUCGAGCGUUAAUCGGAGUCACUGGGCUUAAAGGGUGCGUAGGCGGCGCUACAAGUGCCUUGUGAAAUCCCAUCGCUCACCGAUGUAGUUGCUUGGUAGACUGUAGUGCUUGAGGUUGGUAGGGGCUGCCGGAACUCUAGGUGGAGCGGUGAAAUGCGUAGAUAUCUAGAGGAACGCCAAAGGUGAAGACAGGCAGCGGGGCCAAUACUGACGCUGAGGCACGAAAGCGUGGGGAGCAAACGGG